UCCUGGGUGGCUCAGUAGGUGGAGUGUCUGACUUCAGCUCAGGUCGUGAUCUCACAGCUCGUGGGUUCGAGCUCCACAUCAGGCU
rnacentral:tRNA from 1 species